rnacentral:rRNA from 1 species
CGGUUCGGUACCCGAAUUUCUUGACGACCAUAGAGCAUUGGAACCACCUGAUCCCAUCCCGAACUCAGAAGUGAAACGAUGCAUCGCCGAUGGUAGUGUGGGGUUUCCCCAUGUGAGAGUAGGUCAUCGUCAAGA